rnacentral:tRNA from 1 species
UAGCUCAGUCAGUAGAGCAUGAGACUCUUAAUCUCAGGGUUGUGGGUUUGUACCCCAU